UACGAAGGGGCAAGCGUUGCUCGGAAUCACUGGGCGUAAAGGGCGCGUAGGCGGGAUGGCAAGUCGGUCGUGAAAUCUCUCGGCUCAACCGAGAAACGUCGGCCGAUACUGCCGUUCUUGAGGGAUGCAGAGGAGACUGGAAUUCCCGGUGUAGCGGUGAAAUGUGUAGAGAUCGGGAGGAACACCGGUGGCGAAGGCGGGUCUCUGGGCAUUCCUGACGCUGAGGCGCGAAGCGUGGGAGCA
rnacentral:rRNA from 1 species